AGGUAUGAAGCAGUGAAGGAUUUUAAAAAGACAACGAAUUUCUCUAGUUCUUUUGUAACCUUCGGUGGCAUCGCGGCAUAGAUAAAUUGAAUCUCAGGUUUGAUGAAAAAUAAAUGUAUUCGAGUGCU